rnacentral:rRNA from 1 species
GACGAACGCUGGCGGCGUGCCUAAUACAUGCAAGUUGAGCGCUGAAGGUUGGUACUUGUACCAACUGGAUGAGCAGCGAACGGGUGAGUAACGCGUGGGGAAUCUGCCUUUGAGCGGGGGACAACAUUUGGAAACGAAUGCUAAUACCGCAUAAAAACUUUAAACACAAGUUUUAAGUUUGAAAGAUGCAAUUGCAUCACUCAAAGAUGAUCCCGCGUUGUAUUAGCUAGUUGGUGAGGUAAAGGCUCACCAAGGCGAUGAUACAUAGCCGACCUGAGAGGGGGAUCGCCCACAUUGGAACUGAGACACGGCCCAAACUCCUACGGGAGGCAGCAGUAGGGAAUCUUCGGCAAUGGACGAAAGUCUGACCGAGCAACGCCGCGUGAGUGAAGAAGGUUUUCGGAUCGUAAAACUCUGUUGGUAGAGAAGAACGUUGGUGAGAGUGGAAAGCUCAUCAAGUGACGGUAACUACCCAGAAGGGACGGCUAACUACGUG